GUUGAAGAACGCAGCGAAAUGCGAUAAUUAAUGUGAAUUGCAGAAUUCCGUGAAUCAUCGAGUCUUUGAACGCACAUUGCGCCUCAUGGCAUUCCGUGAGGCAUGCCCAUCUCAGCGUUAGAAAAUAUUCUCAAAUUUUAGUUUUGUGCUAAAAUUUGGAUCAUGUCAAGGAAGCUAUUACUAUUAUUGUGAUCGCUCUUUGGAAAUUGAUAGGUCUUUGAGUUGCUACUCAUAGAACGUGAUGAAUCUUUCUUCGUUCUAUUGUAAUUCACUCUGGUAGUCCUAAAACUUGUAUGCCUGUGGCAUAUCUUGUAAUUUGACCUGAGAUUGGGUAGGGAUACCCGCUGAACUUAAGCAUAUCAAUAAGCGGAGGA
rnacentral:misc_RNA from 1 species